GACGUAGGGUGCAAGCGUUGUCCGGAAUUAUUGGGCGUAAAGGGCUCGUAGGCGGUUUGUCGCGUCGGGAGUGAAAUCCACUGGCUUAACUGGUGGCUUGCUUUCGAUACGGGCAGACUGGAGGUAUGCAGGGGAGAACGGAAUUCCUGGUGUAGCGGUGAAAUGCGCAGAUAUCAGGAGGAACACCGGUGGCGAAGGCGGUUCUCUGGGCAUGUCCUGACGCUGAGGAGCGAAAGUGUGGGGAGCGAACAGG
rnacentral:rRNA from 1 species